rnacentral:rRNA from 1 species
AGCAGCCGCGGUAAUUCCAGCUCCAAUAGCGUAUAUUAAAGUUGUUGCAGUUAAAAAGCUCGUAGUUGAAUUUCGAGACCGGUUUACUGGUCGUGCUUUUGUACGUACUGGUAUUAUUGGUUUCUCCUUUCUGACGAAUCUUAAUGCCAUUAAUUUGGUGUUUUGGGGAAUCAGGACUGUUACUUUGAAAAAAUUAGAGUGUUUAAAGCAGGCUCACGCUUGAAUACAUUAGCAUGGAAUAACGAAAUAGGACGUUUGAUUUUAUUUUGUUGGUUUCUAGGAUCGACGUAAUGAUUAAUAGGGAUAGUUGGGGGCAUUAGUAUUCAAUUGUCAGAGGUGAAAUUCUUGGAUUUAUUGAAGACUAACUACUGCGAAAGCAUUUGCCAAGGAUGUUUUCAUUAAUCAAGAACGAAAGUUAGGGGAUCGAAGACGAUCAGAUACCGUCGUAGUCUUAACCAUAAACUAUGCCGACUAGGGAUCGGAUGAUGUUAAUUUUUAAUGACUCAUUCGGCGCCUUGCG